GACGAACCGUGCGAACGUUGUUCGGAUUCACUGGGCUUAAAGGGCGCGUAGGCGGCUUGCCAAGUCAGGGGUGAAAUCUUUCGGCUCAACCCGGAAAAGUGCUUCUGAUACUGGCGGGCUGGAGGGGGGUAGGGGCAGAUGGAACUUCCGGUGGAGCGGUGAAAUGCGUAGAUAUCGGAAGGAACGCCGGUGGCGAAAGCGAUCUGCUGGACCCCUUCUGACGCUGAGCGCGAAAGCCAGGGGAGCGAACGGG
rnacentral:rRNA from 1 species